GUUCGGACAAGGUGUUCAGUUUGAGGUUCAGCAGGAACUUUUUCACCUGGUAUGAGCUGGAGCCUGCACCCGGGGGGUGGUGACACUUCGGUGUAACUGGUGUUUCCUAUGCUGCAAGGUCUCAUCUGCUGUGAAACCGGCGAAACCUGCCUGACGGCCUUCCACCUCGAGUGACUCCACCGGAAGGUCGCUACAUCUGUGAAAAAUUCGAAUCCGGCCGAAUGAUUCUGUACGACGAAAUAGUCUGGGCCAAAUGUUCCGUGUUCAAGUUCUGACCCGCGCUCACGAUUCCCCUUCCAGCGGUCCCGGACGUAUUGUUCCGGCGGCAACACAAGCAAACGGACGUUUACGUGCGCUUCUUCGGCACGCACGACCUUGGCUGGAUCAACCGGAGGCGAAUCUACCACUAUCACGAGGUCGACGCGGACAGCGUGGCGGAUAGAAAGCGGUCGGACAUGAUGGAGCGGUACAACGAGGCUGCGCAUGGCACGGCAGGGUUUCAACAAGCUGCAGGCAGAAAAAUCUUACGUCCAGGAAUCUGCCCCGGACGAUUUGAGCUCUAAACCGCCGAUGUACGUAAACAUCAAGUCCAGCGCGGCCAGAGACGAGGAGGAGGACUCGAUCUGUAAGGGCAAAUUGUUGGACAAGGACCCGUGCGGGUUACACUCGAAUUGCAUCAACCGGGCGCUGCUCUUGGAGUGCAAUUUGAAGACUUGUCCAGCAGGCGAAAUUCACCAGAACCAGUGUUUCAAACGGAAGUAGUACAAACGGAUACCCAACAGGUUGGAACUGGUCGCUAAGGAAGAUGCACCAGGGUCGGUUUGUGAUCGAGUCCGAGAGGGGAUCAACACCGGGGAGUUAACGCGGCGGAUAAAGCAAAAGCAGGAGCAACAGGGCAAAAAUUACUAUUUCAUGACGGUGGAAUCGGAGCUGACGAUCGACGCGGGGCCCAAGGGCAACUUGGCCCGGUUCAUCAACCACUCGUGCGAGCCUUGGUGCGAGCCCUACUGCGAAACGCUGCUUUGGAAGGUCGGCGGAAGCCAAUCCGUGGGGCUGUUUGCCCUCAGUCCUUGAGGCGGCUAAAAGCUCAUAUUAACUACAACUUUGAGAACUUCGACGACCAGAAGAUCUGCCACUGUGGUGCGGACAAGUGUUCCAGGCUGAUCGUCAGCCAAGGGACGGAGAACUGAAUUGAGGAGGCUACAACGGUCUUGCGCGACUUGCAGGUGCAGAUUGCAACGUGGGUUACCUGCUCAAGUGCUCAAACGCCAACAGUGACCCACGCCAGCGGAAAAGUACCUUGCGGAUCCAUCGUGGAAAGAAUUCUACCUUGCCAAGGGUUGACCAUUAAACGUUCACGAAGAAACGAACCUAUGUUACUAAGUUGUGUAAACCGUAACAAAAGAAUAUAAAACAAUGUAAAUGUUAUCGAAAUAAAUUCAAAACGCUGCGGCAGUUGCAGCCGCAAUCGGUGGAGCUACUCCGGUAGCCUCCUGAGCUUCGGUGGGAGGAUGUCCUCUUCUUAUCAUCUGGCUGUUUAACUUCUGAUCCAAACAAUCCUAUCGAGGAAUCUUCACAGUUCUUACCACCGCGGAUAUUCUAGCGGAAAGAUCUCGUUAGUCUCUGAGCCCCCACUUUUCUCGAUAAUUUCUCGUAACUUCAAAUUUCACUCGCCGCAGCUGCAGUUUUCUGGAAGCUAAGAUUAAAAGACACUCGAAAUCGUUGGUAGUCAUGUUUUACUUCACUCAACAGAACACGCUCGCUGUAAAUUAAACCGUUCUCAUUAACCAACCCUGAUCUGGGACCGGAAGU
rnacentral:misc_RNA from 1 species